rnacentral:rRNA from 1 species
ACUUAAAGUGCUUUACAAUCCGAAGACCUUCUUCACACACGCGGCAUGGCUGGAUCAGGCUUUCGCCCAUUGUCCAAUAUUCCCCACUGCUGCCUCCCGUAGGAGUCUGGACCGUGUCUCAGUUCCAGUGUGACUGAUCAUCCUCUCAGACCAGUUACGGAUCGUCGCCUUGGUGAGCCAUUACCUCACCAACUAGCUAAUCCGACCUAGGCUCAUCCGAUAGCGCAAGGCCCGAAGGUCCCCUGCUUUCUCCCGUAGGACGUAUGCGGUAUUAGCGCCCGUUUCCGGACGUUAUCCCCCACUACCGGGCAGAUUCCUAGGCAUUACUCACCCGUCCGCCGCUGAAUCAUGGAGCAAGCUCCACUCAUCCGCUCGACUUGCAUGUGUAGGCCUCCGCCAGCGUA